UCCAGCGUCGCCUAUUUGUAUAUAUAUAUGCCUUUGCCUUUCGCUCAUCGUCCAUCGGCGAAUAGUCCAGAGAAAAGCCGAAAGGUCCGCGUCCUCGGUGCGGAGAACGGCGGCGGAGGAGAGGGGUCCGUCGCUCAGCCAGCCGGCCCCAAAGUCGCCCUCCCUGCUGGCCCUCUCGCUCGCGUUUUUUUUCGGUGGCAUCCCCCUCGCCCGACGGAGCAUUCAGGUACACCAAUGCGUGCGCGAAGAGGAAUUGCGGCAGUUUGGUCCCAGUCCGCUAGCCAACUUAACUGCGAUUAACCGCUUGCUAAACUAAACGCUUCCCUGGACCCUGGCAUCCGUCCCAUAUUGUUUGUUUCCAUUACCUUGAUUCAUUAUAUUUUGUGCGUGCCAUCGAGUGGG
rnacentral:lncRNA from 7 species